rnacentral:rRNA from 1 species
UACAGAGGGGGCAAGCGUUAUUCGGAAUUAUUGGGCGUAAAGGGCGCGUAGGCGGCCUGGCAAGUGGAUGGUGAAAUCCCUCGGCUUAACCGAGGAACUGCCAUCCAGACUGCUUGGCUUGAGACCGGGAGAGGUGAGUGGAAUUCCCAGUGUAGCGGUGAAAUGCGUAGAUAUCUGGAGGAAUACCGGUGGCGAAGGCGGCAUCCUGGACCGGCAUUGACGCUGAUGAGCGAAAGCAUGGGGAGCGAACAGG